rnacentral:rRNA from 1 species
AACGAACGCUGGCGGCAUGCCUAACACAUGCAAGUCGAACGAGACCUUCGGGUCUAGUGGCGCACGGGUGCGUAACGCGUGGGAACCUGCCCUUAGGUUCGGAAUAACUCCCCGAAAGGGGUGCUAAUACCGGAUAAUGUCUUCGGACCAAAGAUUUAUCGCCUUUGGAUGGGCCCGCGUUGGAUUAGCUAGUUGGUAGGGUAAAAGCCUACCAAGGCGACGAUCCAUAGCUGGUCUGAGAGGAUGAUCAGCCACACUGGGACUGAGACACGGCCCAGACUCCUACGGGAGGAAGAAGUGGGGAAGAUUGGAAAAGGGGCGAAAGUCUGAUCCAGCAAUGACGCGUGAGUGAUGAAGGCCUUAGGGUUGUAAAGCUCUUUUACCCGGGAUGAUAAGGACAGUACCGGGAGAAUAAGCUAAGGCUAACUCCGUG